rnacentral:tmRNA from 1 species
CGCAUUGACAUCUUUCGGCGCUGCGCCUAUUUGGAUCCAUGUCCAAUCAAGGACUAUGACGAUAAAGGCGCACGAAAUAAACGGACCGGACCCGGGGGCGGUACCCGGCGACUCCACCAAUUCCCUUCAAGUGGGAUCGACACGGGGUCGAAACAGGAUAGACGGACGCGUAAAGGUGUAAGCUUUCGUUCGGUGAGGCACCACCGACAUCGGUCCAGACUGCACAAUUGCCAACGACAAUCGUGCUCCGGUUGCGCUAGCCGCGUAACGGCGAAGCAAUAGCCGGAAACUGACUCUGAAGCCCUAAGCAAAGCUUCAGCGGGGUCCGCAGGCACCUGGCAACAGAAGCCUGCAACU